GACGGGGGGGGGCAAGUGUUCUUCGGAAUGACUGGGCGUAAAGGGCACGUAGGCGGUGAAUCGGGUUGAAAGUGAAAGUCGCCAAAAAAGUGGCGGAAUGCUCUCGAAACCAAUUCACUUGAGUGAGACAGAGGAGAGUGGAAUUUCGUGUGUAGGGGUGAAAUCCGUAAAUAUACGAAGGAACGCCAAAAGCGAAGGACAGCUCGUCUGGGCUCC
rnacentral:rRNA from 1 species